rnacentral:rRNA from 1 species
AGGACGAACGCUGGCGGCGCGCCUAACACAUGCAAGUCGAGCGAUAACCAGUCCUUCGGGACUGGGGACAGCGGCGAACGGGUGAGUAACACGUGGGUAAUCUACCCUCGGUUUCGGGAUAGCCCGGGGAAACCCGGAUUAAUACCGAAUGGCCUCUCAGGCUCUCGGGCUUGAGAGAAAAGGUAGCUUCGGCCUCUGACCGACGGAUGAGCCCGCGGCCGAUUAGCUAGUUGGUGGGGUAAGUGG